rnacentral:rRNA from 1 species
AUUGAACGCUGGCGGCGUGCCUAACACAUGCAAGUCGAGCGGUAACAGGUGUAGCAAUACAUGCUGACGAGCGGCGAACGGGUGAGUAAUGCUUCGGAAUCUACCCAAUGGUGGGGAAUAACCAGCCGAAAGGUUGGCUAAUACCGCAUACGUCCUACGGGAGAAAGCAGGGGAUCGUAAGACCUUGCGCCAAUGGAUGAGCCGAAGUCGGAUUAGCUAGNGGUAGGGUAACGGCCUACCAAGGCGACGAUCCGUAGCUGGUCUGAGAGGACGACCAGCCACACUGGGACUGAGACACGGCCCAGACUCCUACGGGAGGCAGCAGUGGGGAAUAUUGGACAAUGGGGGAAACCCUGAUCCAGCGACGCCGCGUGUGUGAAGAAGGCCUGCGGGUUGUAAAGCACUUUUAGU